GGGACCCUUGGGAACGUGGUGGCCACUGGAGUAGAGCAAGGUGGGCAGGCUGUUGGCACCGUGGCGGGAGGGGCUGUGCCCACCUUGAACUUGAACUUGGGGAGGGGGAAGUGGGUGUGCGUGCCUGUCCCCCUCCCCCCACCCUGUUUAUGCGAAUAUGUGGGGGGAGGGCGCGGUGGGGGGGUGCUGCUGCCUGGGCUUUGGACUGGAAGCGUAAGGAGAGGGUUCCCAGAGUUCUUUGGAUGAGAGGGAGGCUGUGGUUUAAGUUCAAGUUCUUGAUAUGCGGCCCAGUAGUGGAGGGAAGGCCUCCCAUUGGGGAGGGCAAGGUAGAGGCCUGGCCAGGUGGUGCAGCCUCUUCUUGGGGGGACCUGUCCUGACUUUUGUCCCUUACUGGCGCCAGGGAGGGACGGGAUCUUUCAAGGUUACAUAGAAAAGGAGACCAAGUUUGGGGGCUUUCUGGAGGACUCACACGCCAGCCUAAAGCAGCUUGGGGUGCCCAUGCCCUUGGGCUGCACGGGGAGGUUGAAAGGACCCCGUCUGAACUCUACAGCCUUAUCCUACUCUCAUGCUGACCUGAUUCCAGACCUACAUUUGGCCGCCCCCAAAGCCCCCAGCUGGAACUGAACUCCCAGCCCAGCCCACCCCAGACCCAGUGUCCCCUCUACUGCCUUGGAGGUGGCAUGCCCUUGACUCUGUCACUUGCCCCUUUCCCAGCCCCAACCAGCUGCCUGCCUAUGACAAGGUGGCUUAUGAAGCAGGGACUAGGGACUGACGGACCCCUGGCACAGGAGUUGUCCUCUGGCCCUGUCUGUGCCAGCCCAAGCUGGAAGGCAGUGCCCAACAGGUGCCCAGGCUUAGAGGCGAGGUGGUGUGAGACACACUUUGUCCGCUCGCCCACACGCCCUGCCUGGGCACGUGUUCACACGCCAUCCUCCUGGGAAGGCACAGGCUCUGGGGCCUGGUGCCAGCUCUAUCCUGGCGUCCAUGGGGGCACCCGAAGCCCCCGGCCCUUGCAGGAUGUCAUCUGCAAACACCUUCAACAUGACAGGCCUUGUCUGUGGGCCUGGAAGUGGCCCUAAAAUAGCUGCCGGCCUGGCCUGGGGCUGGCAAACAGAGCACAUGCGUGACAGGGCGUGUCCAGGGGGGUCAGGCCUGUCUGUGCUGGCCCGGCCUCUAAGUCUCCACAGAUUCUUGCUGCUGGAGAGAGACACAGAGGAUGUUCCAGGGGUCCUCCCAGAGAACCCUGUGCAUUGCCCGUUGGUGUCCGAUGCGAGUGGAGGCCAGAUGUUCUCUGCCGGCCACAGCUGUGGGACAGGCCCCCAUCCAUCUGCAUUUCCCGGUGCCACCCUCCAGCUCCACCUGGUGAUCCCCCGACCCUGUGCCAUGGCCGGCUGGGGUUCCUGGGGAUGGGAUUUGCUGCCUGUCACAAAUCACAUUGCCAGGGAUUUCCAACCGACCCUGUGCUCUGCCUCCGGGGGCCACUGUCACUGAGGAUGUCUGCUGUCCCGGGAUGGGGGGUGGGGGGGCAGAGAGCCCCACCCCGUGUGACACCUGGCCUGAGGAGCAGGGCUUAGUUGCUUGUGAGCAGGGUCCACACCAAGUCAUGUUCACAGUGGCUAAGUUCCGCCCCCCGGGCCCCCACCUCCUCAGGCCCUCCGGCCUCUCCUGCCCAGCCUCCCUGGACUCGGCCUCCCUGGGCUCUGCCUCCCGUGCCUACUGAGCUGAAACACAGUUGAUUAGAUUGUACUGGCUCAGUUCAGCAGGAACAGGAGUCGAGCCCCCUCGGAGUCCGUCCCUGGGGGAGCCGACGCCUGGAGCUGAGACAAGGAUCCAGUUCCAGAUGUGGCCAAAGGAGGGACAUGUGGGAGGGAUGGGGUGGCGGGGGUUCCUGCCACCCACUGUGGUUCUGCACGUGGGUACCCUCCUGUGCCCACACCUUGGACUGGUGGACAGAUGGAUAUCCACAGAUGGAUGGUGCGUCACCCUUCCAUUAAAAGGGAAGCUAGCUAGCUGCGUCCCCUCUGCACCUGGAAUCCCAGCCCCUCGAGUCCCUCUUCUUCUAAGCCUAGCCGGGGCACAGGCCCUCCAGCCUGCCCCUUCCCAGCAGCCACUUACCCAAGAGGAAGCUGUCUUAGGCCCCUGACCGUUAAAUGCCAACUCCCAGCUUCCGGGACCUGAGCUGAACCCGGUAUGCCUGGCCCCCUUGUCCUGGGCCCCACCAUUUUCCAACUUGGGAGGGGGAACAGAGACACCCAUUCCACACAUGGGACAGGAAACAAGGUCCACAUGUGUGCCCAGAAAGGACACAGCAGGCCUGCUUAGUCCUGGGGCCCAUCCUUCACUCCUUGGGUGGUCUCUUCAGCUCCUCCAUGACUUGGGCUUGAAAGAGUUGAAAAGUCUGAGACCAGAUGGGACAAUGGCAGAGUGAAACUCCUCAGGCCAUCAGGGCUGGCCCCGUCCCCUUUCUGCACCCUGGGCAAGGGCAGACAGAGACUUAGGGGAGGUAGGGGCAGUUUGUGUUGUGUGUGGCACCUGUUCCAACUAAAUAAAAGUUGGCCCAGUUUCA
rnacentral:lncRNA from 1 species